GGUUAGAUGAAUUGGGCAUAACAGUCUUGAUGCCUAGAUGUUUGGGCCGCACGCGCGCACACUGAUGAAGUCAUCGAGUACAUAUCCCUUACCGGAAGGUAUGGAUCUUUUGAAACUCAUCGUGAUGGGGAUAGAGCAUUGCAAUUAUUGCUCUUCAACGAGGAAUCCCUAGUAAGCAUGAGUCAUCAGCUCAUGCUGAUUACGUCCCUGCCCUUUGUACACACCGCCCGUCGCUACUACCGAUUGAAUGGCUUAGUGAGACCCUCGGAUCGACGAAUGGAAACCUUCGCGGGUAUCUAUUUGUUGAAAAGUUGGUCAAACUUGGUCAUUUAGAGGAAGUAAAAG
rnacentral:rRNA from 1 species